rnacentral:rRNA from 1 species
CCUACGGGAGACAGCAGUGGGGAAUAUUGCGCAAUGGGCGAAAGCCUGACGCAGCGACGCCGCGUGAGGGAUGAAGGUCUUCGGAUCGUAAACCUCUGUCAGCAGGGAAGAACGGUCACUGUGCUAAUCAGCAGUGAAUUGACGGUACCUGCAAAGGAAGCACCGGCUAACUCCGUGCCAGCAGCCGCGGUAAUACGGGGGGUGCGCGCGUUAAUCGGAAUUACUGGGCGUAAAGCGCUCGUAGGCGGUAUGUCAAGUCAAGGGGGAAAUCCCCGGGCUCAACGUGGGAACUGCCUUUGAAACUGGCAGACUGGAGUGUGUGAGAGGAAAGUGGAAUUCCAGGUGUAGGAGUGAAAUGCGUAGAUAUAUGGAGGAACAUCAGUGGCGAAGGCGACUAUCUGGCACAUAACUGACGCUGAGGAGCGAAAGCGUGGGUAGCAAACAGGAUUAGAUACCCUUGUAGUC